CUUGUCUAGCAGAGCCAUCUGUGUUACAGCCUCCUCCAUAGCUGCACUGGACUUUCAGCCCUGUCUCCUCCCUGACUCUGCCUGCAAGUGCACUCCUCUUUGUCUUUCUUACCCUGCUGAUAUUAGGACCAACUUCUAGCCAAAUAGACAGAAUGGGCAGAGAGAAACGGCAGUUGAAAUGCAACAUGCCCUCCAGUUCUCAUCUGACACUAUGCCAGCGCUAUAAGAGUCGCACUCCCAGAGAAGCCAACCUUAUGAUUUGGGAUCAGACCUUUGGCACUGCUGGAAGCAGAGGUUUAUGCCCCAGCCUUCCCCAGGUUCACGAUGCAGGAAACUUUGUGGGUGAAUCUCCCUUUAUCUUUCUCAGAUGUUCCCGUUGAAGGGUCAGAGGAUUUGUGUUCCCUAUAGACGUGUAUAAAACCUUGACUGGCCAAGGGACUAUUGGCCAAUGUCUGCAAGCCUGGAAUUUGCAAACUCAAGUGGUACAACCUGAAAGCCUUAAUGGGUGGGUAAAACUCCCAAGCAACUAGGAGGCUUUUGUCAGCUGGCUAGAGCUGUGGCUGUGGCUUGAAUUGUUGUGUGUGAUCCCUUGGGUUGAAUGGCACAAUCUCACCUGACCCGGUAGAGCAGACAUAGAGUCAUUCCUGAAGGUUAGCAGGUUGUGGACAUUGCAUGACCAGUUUCCUCCGGGAAAGCACCCCAUUGAAUGUGCUGUUCCCACUGGGGAUUUCUGUAGAAAGGAUUGGCAUCCCUCAAAGCCCUGUUCCCUAUGGCUGGGGCUUGCCCUUCUCUCCUUACAGAGCAGGGCUGACUGUCACUGUGUCCAUGGUAACUCAGACCCAUACAGGCGUCAGGUGUACACUCGAGACUCAGAGUUCAGAUCUUUUCCUGUGAAAAUACUAUAUUGUCAUGUUGUGACUAUGUUUGAGUGAAGCUGUAACCAUGAUGGUUCAGGAAACAUGUGAGAGGCAAGGAUUUUUGUAGGUGAUAUCAUUCAAAAACUUGUCUGUCAUAUAGUUGAUCCAAUAAAGGUGUCAGCCACAAAAAUCCUUGACUCGUGCAUUAUCUUCUUCUAUCAUAUAAUGGAAAUGAAAUCCUAAAAUGCCUGUGGAGAUGUUCUCCAUGAAGCAACUCCUGUAUCUUCCCACCUUUCCUAACUGCAUCACUUGAUAGUCUGGAAAUUCUGGGUCGGUGGCUAGUCUUCUGUUACCCCAUUCCUGACAUAGAGGGGCUCCAAGGCACCUUUUGAACUUCACAGUUAUACUAAUAACAUCGUGUUAAACUUUCUAGGCAAGAACAACUCAGAAUCCUGGUCGGGCAAUAACAAGACCAGCUGAGACGAGUCUCUGCAAAAGGCGUUGCAUCUUUUAGCGGUAAACAGCUUUUCCAAUCCUGCAUUCCAGCAAUGGCCCAUGCGAUUCCAGGCAAGAACUGUGUGGCUUUAUGCAUCAUCCCAAAACUCUUGGCUUUAGUUAGUCUCCUCUUCAGCUACCCAAGUGUGCUCUUACAAUAACUGCUUCAUGCAGCCUCAGACCUGUACAAAAAGUGUCUCCAGACCUACAUGCAGUGGUGACUUCAAGGACUGGGGUGAUUUAUAGAGAUGGGAACUUUGUGUAAAGGAAAAGUGGCCAUCCUCACACAGGCUGCAUGAGCUCUGGAGACAGCUCCAUCACUUCUGCCCUCAGAUUAGGCAUUGAAGAAAAUCUUUGGGGCUGUAUGCCAGCAGUUCCUGCGCCCCACUAGCAAAGCAGAAAUGGGAUCCCCAAACCCCAGCUCCCUUCCAGAUGCACACCCUUGGCCUGAAAGAUGCGGAUCCACAUCUUUCCUAGACAGUGAAAGCAUCAGCUUGGCAAGUCAGCCAUAGCGAGAACAGCAGACCAUAUGCAUACGGCUCCUUCUGUGUAUCCACUGAAUGAUUCUGCGUGGGUGGGGAAAAAAGCACUCGGGGUUGAAAUCAGACCUAAAGGGUCAGCUCAUCAUCUGGGAAGAAGGACUGUUGCUCAGCUGGCAUCAUGCUGAUUUAAAACAGCUGAAGGUUUGGCCCUGACUCUUUUAGCUUGGAGGCAAAACAUUUUUUUCAUUUUUAAAUUUGUUUUUAAGAGAACUGGAAGGGGAGGAGUAAAAUGUGUUUUGAGAGCUGCAAGCAGGCAAAACAAUGAAAUUGCUGCUUUCUGCAGUCUCCCCUCCCCACCCCCCUUCCUUUUUAUGUGCCUAAAACUAACAGCAGCAACAAAACCUUCAUUUCUUAUGUUAUGAUAUGAUUCAUGAUGCAGGCUGUUAUUGCCUUAUUAAAAAAUAAAACACUGAUGGGGGGAGGGGGAUGGGGGGGAAAGCCUAAACCCCUAAAAUGGAACAUCUGCAGAUGAUUAAACUGAUGAUUAAACUGUGGUGGGUUCUGGAAAGAAAAGAACAGUGGGGCUGUGGUGUGACAGAUAAGA